CGUGGACAGCUACGUGAGUUU
rnacentral:miRNA from 1 species